rnacentral:rRNA from 1 species
AUUGAACGUUGGCGGCAGGCCUAACACAUGCAAGUCGAGCGGUAGAGAGGUGCUUGCACCUCUUGAGAGCGGCGGACGGGUGAGUAAUGCCCAGGAAUCUGCCUGGUAGUGGGGGAUAACGCCCGGAAACGGACGCUAAUACCGCAUACGUCCUAAGGGAGAAAGCAGGGGACCUUCGGGCCUUGCGCUAUCAGAUGAGCCUAGGUCGGAUUAGCUAGUUGGUGAGGUAAUGGCUCACCAAGGCGACGAUCUUUAGCUGGUCUGAGAGGAUGAUCAGCCACACUGGGACUGAGACACGGCCCAAACUCCUACGGGAGGCAGCAGUGGGGAAUAUUGGACAAUGGGCGAAAGCCUGAUCCAGCCAUGCCGCGUGUGUGAAGAAGGUCUUCGGAUUGUAAAGCACUUUAAGUUGGGAGGAAGGGCAGUAAGUUAAUACCUUGCUGUUUUGACGUUACCGACAGAAUAAGCACCGGCUAACUCUGUGCCAGCAGCCGCCGUAAUAC